AAGGCACUAGUAUAAGCGCCCAAUACACUGCCUUGUCAAGGCAGAAUUGUAGGUUAAACCCCUGCGUGCCUUG
rnacentral:tRNA from 1 species